rnacentral:rRNA from 1 species
GACGAACGCUGGCGGCGUGCCUAAUACAUGCAAGUCGAACGCAUUUUCUUUCACCGUAGCUUGCUACACCGAAAGAAAAUGAGUGGCGAACGGGUGAGUAACACGUGGGUAACCUGCCCAUCAGCGGGGGAUAACACUUGGAAACAGGUGCUAAUACCGCAUAAUUCCAUUUACUGCAUGGUAGAUGGAUGAAAGGCGCUUUUGCGUCACUGAUGGAUGGACCCGCGGUGCAUUAGCUAGUUGGUGGGGUAACGGCCUACCAAGGCUGCGAUGCAUAGCCGACCUGAGAGGGUGAUCGGCCACACUGGGACUGAGACACGGCCCAGACUCCUACGGGAGGCAGCAGUAGGGAAUCUUCGGCAAUGGACGCAAGUCUGACCGAGCAACGCCGCGUGAGUGAAGAAGGUUUUCGGAUCGUAAAACUCUGUUGUUAGAAAAGAACAAGGAUGAGAGUGGAAAGUUCAUCCCUUGACGGUAUCUAACCAGAAAACCACGGCUAACUACGU